AUGAGGGCAACCGGCAAGGUUAUCCUCCUCCGGCUGCUCUUCUUGGCAUUAUGCAUCUCGCUCCUUCCCAUCCAGGCCCCCGCCGCUGACAAGCUCGAGAAAGGCCAGAACCUCACCGACGCCGACGGCGACACGCUCGUCUCGGCCGGCGGCAGCGGCACCUUCACCCUCGGCUUCUUCUCUCCCGGGGCGUCCACCAAGAGGUACCUCGGCAUAUGGUUCUCCGUGUCCAACCACACCGUCUACUGGGUCGCCAACCGCGACCAGCCUCUGCCCGACAGGUCCGGCAUGCUGGUGUUCAACGACGCGGCCACCCUCGUCCUCCUCGACGGCUCCCGCCGGACGGUCUGGUCUUCGUACUUCUCCGGCGGCCCUUCCGCCGCGACGGCUCAGCUUCUCGAGUCCGGCAACCUGGUCGUGCGCAACGGCAGCAGCGACGCCUACCGGUGGCAGUCGUUCGACCACCCGUCGGACACCUUGCUGCCCGGCAUGAAGCUGGGCAAGAUCUUGUGGGCCAAAUCCGAGCUGCAGCUCACGUCGUGGCGAUCGGCCGACGACCCGUCUCCGGGUGACUACCGCCGCACGCUGGAAACCAAGGGGCUCCCGGAGCUCGUCCUGUGGUACCGCGACGUCAAGGCGUACCGCACGGGGCCGUGGAACGGGCUCAUCUUCAACGGCGUCGAGGAGGCGUCGACGUACGCGGACAUGUACCCGCUGCACGUGAGUGGCCUGACGGACAGGUCGACGGAGAUAACGUACGGGUACACCGCCGUGCCCGGCGCGCCGCUGACUCGCGUCGUGGUGAACUACACUGGCGUGGCGGAGCGGCUGGUAUGGAAGGCGGACACCGGGGAGUGGAUCCCCUACUUCACCAGGGCGGCGAGGGAUAACACCUGCGAAGCUUACGCCAAGUGCGGGUCGUUCGGCCUCUGCAACCCCGAGGCGGCGUCGUCGUCGUUCUGCGGCUGCGUGCCGGGGUUCAGCCCCGACUCGCCGUCGGCGUGGCGGAUGAAGCAGUACGCGGGCGGAUGUCGACGAGACGCGGGACUGGAGUGUGGCGGCGGGACGACGACUGACCACUUCAAGGUGGUGCCGAGAGUCAAGCUUCCCGACACGCAGAAUGCGACGGUGGACUUGGACGUCGCCACGCUGGACGAGUGCUCGGCGAAGUGCCUCGCCAACUGCUCGUGCUUGGCCUACGCCGCCGCCGAUAUCCGGGGCGGCGGCAACCGUAGCGGCUGCGUCAUGUGGACGGAUGCCAUCGUUGACCUGCGCCUUAUUGACAGCAAGCAGGAUCUCUUCCUGAGGUUGUCAAAGUCAGAAUUCGUAGCAGAUGGCCAUGGCCGCAAAAGUAAAGGGUUUCCUACUGCACUUGUUGUGGCACCUGUAGCUUCUAUUGUUACUCUUCUUCUGGUCGUCUUUGUGUUUUGGUGGAGAUGGAAGUGCAGAAUCUUAGGCGCUAUUCCUCAAAAUCCAUCCAUGGCCGUUCCUUUGCUAAAUCUAGCUACUAUAAAGCAUGGCACUGGAAAUUUUUCUGAGAGUAAUAUUAUCGGUCAAGGUGGAUUCGGCAUUGUUUAUAAGGGGCAGCUGCCUCAAGGAAAAAUGAUUGCUGUUAAGAGGCUUAAGCAGGCGGCUCUCACUAGGAAAGGCAAGAAAGAUUUCGCGAGAGAAGUAGAAGUGAUGGCCGGCCUCCGGCAUGGCAGUCUCGUUCGCCUCCUUGCUUACUGUAACGAAGGCAAGGAGAGGAUACUCGUCUAUGAAUACAUGGAGAACAAGAGCUUGAACGUCUACAUAUUCGGCACACCUAGCCUUCGUGCUUCACUGAACUGGGCAAAGAGACUGGAAAUAAUCCACGGCAUCGCGCAUGGUGUUGCAUACCUUCACGGUGGAUCGGGCAAGAGUGUAAUCCACAGGGACCUCAAGCCGGGCAACAUUCUUCUGGACGACGAAUGGAAUGCCAAGGUUGCGGACUUUGGCACCGCGAAGCUGUUCGCCGUUGAUCAGAUGGCGCCUGAUCAGACAGUUGUUGUUUCACCGGGAUAUGCAGCCCCGGAGUACGAGAGACAAGGAGAGAUGACACUGAAAUGCGACGUCUACAGCUUUGGAGUUAUCCUCUUGGAGACGCUCAGCGGGCAAAGGAACGGCAGCAUGCAGAGGCUACUUUUGCAUGCUUGGGGACUCUGGGAACAGAGCAAGACCGUGGAACUUCUUGACACAUCAAUAGCAUUGCCACUUCCUGAAUCUGAGCCUGAGCUCUUGUCCGGGCUGAAACGAUGCAUCCAGAUUGGACUCCUCUGUGUCCAAGAAAUGCCCAGCGACAGGCCAACCAUGUCUGCAAUAGUUGCCCUGCUGACAAGCACAACUUCUCAGAUCGAUCGACCAGGAAGGCCGGCGAUGGAUAGCACGGCCGUGCAUUCAUCACAUGAGCUUGAAUCCGGCCUCUCGAGUCCGUCUACAGAUGAUCUGACAUAA
rnacentral:rRNA from 1 species